GAUGAACGCUGGCGGCGUGCUUAACACAUGCAAGUCGAACGGAAAGGCCUCUUCUUGCCGGGGUACUCGAGUGGCGAACGGGUGAGUAACACGUGGGUGAUCUGCCCUGCACUUCGGGAUAAGCCUGGGAAACUGGGUCUAAUACCGGAUAGGACAAUGGUUUGGAUGCUGUUGUGGAAAGUUUUUCGGUGUGGGAUGAGCUCGCGGCCUAUCAGCUUGUUGGUGGGGUAAUGGCCUACCAAGGCGUCGACGGGUAGCCGGCCUGAGAGAGUGUACGGCCACAUUGGGACUGAGAUAGGAGCCAGAGUCCUACGGGAGGCAGGAGUGGGGAGUAGUGCACAAUGGGCGCAAGGCUGAUGCAGGGACGCGGCGUGGGGGAUGACGGCCUUCGGGUUGUGGACUCCUUUCGCUAGGGACGAGGCGUUUUUGUGACGGUACCUGGAGAAGAAGCACCGGCUAACUACGUG
rnacentral:rRNA from 1 species